rnacentral:rRNA from 1 species
ACGAACGCUGGCGGCGUGCUUAACACAUGCAAGUCGAACGAUGAAGCCCUUCGGGGUGGAUUAGUGGCGAACGGGUGAGUAACACGUGGGCUAUCUGCCCUUCACUCUGGGACAAGCCCUGGAAACGGGGUCUAAUACCGGAUAACACUUCUACAGGCAUCUGUGGGGGUUGAAAGCUCCGGCGGUGAAGGAUGAGCCCGCGGCCUAUCAGCUUGUUGGUGAGGUAGAAGCUCACCAAGGCGACGACGGGUAGCCGGCCUGAGAGGGCGACCGGCCACACUGGGACUGAGACACGGCCCAGACUCCUACGGGAGGCAGCAGUGGGGAAUAUUGCACAAUGGGCGAAAGCCUGAUGCAGCGACGCCGCGUGAGGGAUGACGGCCUUCGGGUUGUAAACCUCUUUCAGCAGGGAAGAAGCGAAAGUGACGGUACCUGCAGAAGAAGCGCCGGCUAACUACGU